CCUACGGGUGGCAGCAGUAGGGAAUAUUGCUCAAUGGGGGAAACUCUGAAGCAGCAACGCCGCGUGGAGGAUGAAGGUUUUCGGAUUGUAAACUCCUUUUGUUAGAGAAGAUAAUGACGGUAUCCAACGAAUAAGCACCCGACAACUUCGUGCCCGCAGCCGCGGGAAUACGGAGGGGGCAAGCGUUACUCGGAAUCACUGGGCGUAAAGAGCGCGUAGGCGGGAUAGCAAGUCAGAUGUGAAAUCCUAUGGCUUAACCAUAGAACUGCAUUUGAAACUGUUAUUCUUGAGUAUGGGAGAGGUAGGUGGAAUUCUUGGUGUAGGGGUAAAAUGCGUAGAGAUUAAGAGGAAUACUCAUGGCGAAGGCGACCUGCUGGAACAUAACUGACGCUGAUGCGCGAAAGCGUGGGGAGCAAACAGGAUUAGAUACCCGGGUAGUC
rnacentral:rRNA from 1 species